CAGGCUUUGGGUCGGGCGUGGGCUUGGGGUCAGGCUUUGGCGCCGGUCUAGGGUCGGGCUGCGGGUCUGGUUUGGGGUCGGGUUUGGGUGCUGGGUCAGGUUUCGGCGCCGGUUUGGGGUCGGGCUUGGGUGCUGGGUCAGGUUUCGGCACCGGUUUUGGGUCUGGUUUUGGGUCAGGUUUUGGCGCGAGUUUAGGGUCGGGCUUGGGUGUCGGGUCAGGUUUCGGCGCGAGUUUAGGGUCGGUCUGCGGGUCUGGUUUGGGGUCAGGCUGUGGCGUAGGCUUCGGCUCUAGGCUGGGCUCAUGUUUCAGCUCCGGCGCCCUCCCAGCGACGGCGAGGCUAGCAACAUUUGCCGCGACGAGGGCCAACAGCAAGCACAGCGAGAAGGCGGAUGCCCUCAUCGUCGCCGAUCACUAGCUAGCUGCUCACAGCUCACUCAGCUCACUUGCUUUGUAGUAUGUG
rnacentral:lncRNA from 1 species